rnacentral:rRNA from 1 species
UAAGACCGGUGCCAGCCGCCGCGGUAAUACCGGUGGCUCGAGUGGUGGCCGCUAUUAUUGGGUCUAAAGGGUCCGUAGCCGGCUUGAUAAGUUACCUGGGAAAUCCGGUGGCCUAACCAUCGGGCGGCCAGGUAAUACUAUCAGGCUCGGGACUAGGAGAGACCAGAGGUACUCAUGAGGUAGGAGUGAAAUCCUGUAAUCUUAUGAGGACCACCAGUGGUGAAGACGUCUGGUUAGAAUAGGUCCGACGGUGAGGGACGAA